CCAGAGGCGGGCCUAAGCGCUGGAAAACAUGCUGGCACCUGCUGGGUGGUCAUUACGCAACAUCUUAUCUUUUUUCACUUAGUCCCGAAGGUCCAGUCCAUGGCAGAUGUACUAAUGUGCUGGGCAACUGAAGUCUGUUGUCGUCAACUUCCUGUCCAUGCGGAGCCUGAGGUAAAGGAGUUUAUGGCUGCAGUGAUGGCUUUGGCUUGGUCAAAGGUUUUAUGCACAAUUACAGGUGAUUGGUCAUAAAUUAUAGAUAUGCGCCAUAUAUCCUGGUCCCAGUGGUGUCACAACAAUAUGUAAAUGACAGCUGGAAGUGGCAGCUGAAAAACAGCAAAUGUACAGCUAGGUGUCUUCUCUGCCUGGUUUAGGCACAGUGAGACACAACAGGGGAGCCGACCUCUAAAAUAUGCUGACAGUCGGCCUCAGUAUCUGCACAAAAAACACAAUUGGCCACUCUCUGGUCGAUGCAUGAAGCGUACGUGACCGCAGCUGGAUAGGAAGACGGCUUUCGCGAUCAUCUUUGCUACAAGCAACAGCAGCAUUUUCUUGUUUAACCUAUGUGGACGUCACAUCUGUCACUGUUUCCCGUAACUCUCGCUAGUUGCCUGUCGUCCCCACACAUCCAUUUUUUUUUUUUUUGCGUCCUUGAUUGGAGAAGUAAAUAAAUAAACAAAACAAAACCACCAUCAAGAAGCCACAAAAAGACGGGCCCCGCUGACAGGCCCAUUGCGAUGUGAGGAGGCCGCCUCUGGCUGUGGCUGGGUCAGCUGAGAAUAAAUAGAGUUGUUUUUCUCAUUUCGUCUCUCGUAUUUCUGUGAUCCCGUGUGAAUGAAUCAAUGUCAACACUCUGCGUGUGUGUGUGUGCGUUUGCGUGUUACGUGCCCACAAUCUUGCAGAUGCCUGUCUGCCUGCAGCGCUACUACACUGAGCAGCGCUGCCUCUGCUGCUGCUGCUGCUGCUGCUCUCGGUUUGCCUCAGAUCAAUCUUGGAAAGAUGAGUUUCAAAGUAGUAGUGGAGAGAAGGCCAUGAGAGACAGAUACGGUAUUGAAGAGAGGCCAUGAAGAAACAAGAAACAACCAGUGAUGAAGUCUGAGCACAAAGCAGGCAGGGAAGACUGAGAGUAAUGCGCAGAUAUGUCAAACAGACCGGAAUUUCUCCAGAGUUCAAAGCUAACAUUUCUGACAAGUUGUUUCAAGUCGCUCCUGGGUGCCCUGCCAGUCAGUAUUCAAUUACACGCCUUAAUGCAGUUCAACAUUCAGUACAAGUUGAAGAUGGGAGUCAUUAGACUGCAGUUACACAGUUUUUGAUGCCAUUCUGACGGUGGGGGGGGGGGGAUUAAGAGGUGUGUAAUAGCAGCUGGGUGGCUGAUGCAUCCUCCAGAUGUUGUCUGGGAAAUGGUAAUUGACCUGCUAAUGAAGUCUGGGCUCCUCCUGUCAGCUCUGAGCCUCAGAGAGCCUGUGACAUUGGAAGGGACACCUGCCUAUCUGCCCAGAUGACAGCAAACCUGAGUUGUAAUGAGACACACAGCAAACUGACCGCAACCAUCUCUUUCUCUCUCUGCCAUACACACACAUUUCUGCAUGAAUAAACUGAAUAAAACCAUGCUUUUUUUUUUUCUUUCUUUCUUUUUUUUUUUUACUCUUUGGUCACUCUCACAAAUACCACACAUAAAGUAACAGAGAUGUCAGAUGUUAAUUGCACUCUCCUGCAGUCAGCCUCGACCGCCGCGGCCUGCCUGGUCAUUUGGCGGACGGCCUGGUGAAUGUCACCUUCUUCUUCUUUUUUUUUUUUUUUUUUUUCAGCAGCGAGUGUGUGCGGCCGUGUGGGUGUUUGUGCAUGGUGAGUCAUGCUGGGCAGAGAUGGGAAUAUCUGGCCGCAGCUGCUGGACAGGAGGACGAGAUGUUUUAGAUUGCAGCAUGGAGAGGAGGCAGAUGACCGUUAUUGCCAGGUAGUUUUUUUUUUUUUUUUUGAAGGGGAGAGCAAUGUCACUUCAUGGGAGAAUCAUCGGCUCAGAGGCACAGCCGAAAAGCCAGUCCGGUCAGCACUUGAAACAGAUAAUGUUUCAUUAUGACUGCUU